UCAGUGCUGCUGAGCACAGGCAAUCCAUCACAGACCUCCUCCCAUCUGCCAUCGAUCCCCAAGCUUGCUGCUACAGACAGAGCUCAAGACCCCAGAUACCAUAACUCACGGACUGGAAGACUCAGCAGAAUAGAUCAGGGGCAGUCACAGGGCACUCAGCCUAGCGUGGGCUGGAGAGCAGAACACGGCUCUGACACGAGCACCGGGCAGAUUAUCACAGGACAUUGCACUCAGGGAAAGUGCUCAUGUGAUUGGGAUUUAACAGACGAUUAAAUAAUGCCGGCAUUUCUGACAGCUCAUGAAGAAACUGUGAUUAAAGGACUCCAGAAAAACUCAUUUUCCUUCCUGGCUCCAAUGCCAACCUCAGGAAUUUCCCUUCCAUUAAUACAGAUGUUCAACCAAAGCCAACCAGAGCAACUGCCCCCCACUCCAAUGGGAAUGGGACAGUCCUGCCACCAGGGAGCCAGCCCUGAGGAAGCUCGGCAUGGGAAGCUGCCCCGUGCCUUGGACUUCAUCCAAAGGGCUCCAGCCACAUGGUUCACACCUCCAGAUUUCAGUGCACCUGAGAGGUUUCCCCCAAGUCACAACCACAGCACACCUCUCGUCCUCAGCAGCCGCUCACCAGCCCCUCUGUGCCCAUUGCUUCUGCACUGCCCCACCUCGCCCCUUACCUGCAGAGCAGCCCAGGUGUAGGGGAUAGCAGACUCACUCCUGACACUCAGCACAUCUCUGCGGUGGCAUCAGCUCCAGGCUUGUGGCUUCCCUGCUUUUCAUCCCUCUGUCCCUCUCCAUCUCACCUCAAGUAAUCUCCGUCUGCAGAGGAUUGGGGUGACUGCAACCACAGUGAUGCCACUAGAGAGUCGUUGUGUUAAAGAUCACGGUGCUGGUAAGUGACAAUUACAAGCCCCAGGAGAGAAGCUGGUACUAUUUCUUAAUGCAGACUUUCCAGGGGGUUGGAACUAGAUGAUCUUUGAGGUCCCUUUCAUCCCAGGCCAUUCUGUGACUCCACGAUUAAACAAGCUCUGUAAUGCCAGCAAGCUGGUUUCACCAAUACACGUUGUUUUACCCAUUUACACAUUUCCCAGCCAUCCCAUGGCAGCCUAACGGCAGUUUGAAGCUGUGCAUCAGGACAGUGUCAAGCUCUGCUCCUUCUCCCUGAGGCCGUGCAGGCACUCAACCAGCACCACAAAGACAUUUCCCAGGAAACAGUGUCUUCUGGGAACCUGAAAGACAGAAUGGAAACUGUUGAUCAGAACAAGCAGCUGUGCAUCCCCGGAGGCGACAUCCAAAGCAGAAGGGCUGCUGCCUGACACUGUGUUUAGGUUGGGUGGAUUUAUGGGCUCCUCUGAUAACUGCUAUCUGCAGCAUCAGUCACCGCCCCUUUGCUGGAAUUUCUCUUGGUUUGCUGUUCCCAGCUCUGAGCACUUCUGGAGGGGCUCUGGUGUAGCUUUGUCAUUGUGUAUAUUCAUACAGGUGGAAAUCAAAGUCUGAUGGCAUCUUGUGAACUUUUAAAGGCUCCAUUGGUCUCAGAGGUUUAUAAGCUGAGCAGCAGUAGCAUCAGGGCAGAGACAGUUGUGCACUGCAGAGCAGCAAUGAGUUGUACAGCUCUCAGUCCUGGUGCCAUUCACAGCUCCUAGAUGCGAGGGAUGGAAGACUGGGAGCAGAUUCCCCAGGAGCACCAUUUGCAUUUUGGAAUCCCAAAGUCCCAGAGGCGUUAUCUCGAGCUGCAGAGCACCGUAAAUCAGAGGGGCCCUUCCCGGCAGUCAGCUUUGAUAUGACCCUCCCCCUCCGCACCCAUGCCCUACAGGAAGAAAAACCCUCAGCCCAUCUCACCCUUGUAAACAGCUCAGGAUACAAGAGGAGAAUAAAAGAUAUCUGG
ensembl:lncRNA